GACGAACGCUGGCGGCGUGCUUAAUACAUGCAAGUUGUACGAGAACGCAUCCUUCGGGAUGUUAGUAAAGUGGCGAACGGGUGAGUAACACGUAAGAAAUCUGCCCUCGAGAUUGGGAUAACCCUGCUAACGCGGGGCUAAUACCGAAUGAAGUGCUUUUUCCGCAUGGGAGAAGUAUGAAAGGCGGGGACCUUUUUAAGGCCUGUUGCUCGAGGAUGAUCUUGCGUUCCAUUAGUUUGUUGGUGAGGUAACGGCUCACCAAGACUACGAUGGAUAGCCGGCCUGAGAGGGUGAACGGCCACACUGGGACUGAGAUACGGCCCAGACUCCUACGGGGAGGCAGCAGUAAGGAAUAUUGCGCAAUGGUCUAACGACUGACGCAGCAACGCCGCGUGACUGAUGAAGCAUUUAGGUGUGUAAAGGUCUGUUAGGGAAGAAGAAUAAGGUUGUUCAUAAUACGUGCAACUGAUGACGCUAUU
rnacentral:rRNA from 1 species